ACGGAAGGCAGCAGUGGGGGAUAUUGCACAAUGGGGGAAACCCUGAUGCAGCGACGCCGCGUGAGUGAAGAAGUAUUUCGGUAUGUAAAGCUCUAUCAGCAGGGAAGAAAAUGACGGUACCUGACUAAGAAGCUCCGGCUAAAUACGUGCCAGCAGCCGCGGUAAUACGUAUGGAGCAAGCGUUAUCCGGAUUUACUGGGUGUAAAGGGAGCGUAGACGGCGAGGCAAGUCUGAUGUGAAAGCCAUGGGCUCAACCCAUGAACUGCAUUGGAAACUGUCUUGCUUGAGUGUCGGAGAGGUAAGCGGAAUUCCUAGUGUAGCGGUGAAAUGCGUAGAUAUUAGGAGGAACACCAGUGGCGAAGGCGGCUUACUGGACGAUAACUGACGUUGAGGCUCGAAAGCGUGGGGAGCAAGCAGGAUUAGAUACCCUGGUA
rnacentral:rRNA from 1 species